UUUCUUCAACUCUAAACCAUCCUUACUUCAAUGGGUUUAACCCCAAACACUAAGGAUCAUCAAUCUCUCAACAUACAAUAGAUUACAACUCAAAUACAUAACCCAAUCAUGUCCCACAACCAACAAUAACUUCAACAACACAACUAACAACAUCAACAACAACUAACAACUUCAACAACAAUUCCAAUCUUUUCUCAAAUCAUAAAAAUGAGCUUGGUGUGUGGGGGAAAGGAUCAACUCACACAAAGAACUCACAUACCUUGAUAUGGAUCACCCCCGACGAUUUCCACGAUGGAACUUUGACGGAAACUAGUUGAUCUCCUC
rnacentral:lncRNA from 1 species